GGCCUCGUAGUUCAAUGGAUAGAAUAGAAGUUUCCUAAACUUUUGAUACAGGUUCGAUUCCUGUCGGGGCUACGA
rnacentral:tRNA from 1 species